rnacentral:rRNA from 1 species
AUUGAACGCUGGCGGCAUGCUUUGCACAUGCAAGUCGAACGGUAACAGGCCUUCGGGUGCUGACGAGUGGCGAACGGGUGAGUAAUGCAUCGGAACGUGCCCAGAGGUGGGGGAUAACGCAGCGAAAGCUGUGCUAAUACCGCAUGUGAUCUGAGGAUGAAAGCGGGGGACCACGCAGCAAUGUUUGGCCUCGCGCCUCUGGAGCGGCCGAUGUCAGAUUAGGUAGUUGGUGGGGUAAAGGCCUACCAAGCCGACGAUCUGUAGCUGGUCUGAGAGGACGACCAGCCACACUGGGACUGAGACACGGCCCAGACUCCUACGGGAGGCAGCAGUAGGGAAUUUUGGACAAUGGGCGCAAGCCUGAUCCAGCAAUGCCGCGUGCGGGAAGAAGGCCUUCGGGUUGUAAACCGCUUUUGUACGGAACGAAAAGGCUCUGGCUAAUACCUGGGGCUGAUGACGGUACCGUAAGAAUAAGCACCGGCUAACUACGUG